AAAACUACCCUAAAAUGCCUAUAUAAAAUGAGUGUAACACCUGUAAAUCGAUUAUUUGAUAAAUCUAAACAAGAAGGUUGUGUAAAAUUUGCAAAAUAAUUAGGAAUUUGACCGCUGAGAUUGUUGCCAUAGAGGACUAAAGAAUCAAGUUGUUUAAGGUUUUCAAAUGAGAAAAUCUCGCCAUUGAAAUUGUUAUAGGAGAGGUACAAAGAAUGGAGUUGCUUAAGGCUUCCAAGUGAGGAUGAAAUUUGACCACUGAAAUUGUUAUAAGAGAGGUCCAGUGAAGAGAGUUCUUUAAGAUUCUUAAGUGAAGAUGGAAUUUCUCCACUGAAAUUAUUAUAAGAGAUGUCUAACCAAGUGAGUUGAGUCAACUUACCAAACAAUUCCAAAUUUGAACCUUCAAAGUUGCAGGCCUGGAGUUCCAAAGUUACCAAUGACUUUAAAUUACUGAUGAAGUCAUGGUCUACAUAUAUUGGAAUUUUUGUACGAGAAAGAAACAAGUGGCGAAGGGAGUUAUUCCAAUUAUGCCGA
rnacentral:misc_RNA from 1 species